AGAGUUUGAUCCUGGCUCAGGAUGAACGCUGGCGGCGUGCCUAAUACAUGCAAGUCGAGCGAACGGACGAGAAGUUUGCUUCUCUGAUGUUAGCGGCGGACGGGUGAGUAACACGUGGAUAACCUACCUAUAAGACUGGGAUAACUUCGGGAAACCGUAGCUAAUACCGGAUAAUAUUUUGAACCGCAUGGUUCAAAAGUGAAAGACGGUCUUGCUGUCACUUAUAGAUGGAUCCGCGCUGCAUUAGCUAGUUGGUAAGGUAACGGCUUACCAAGGCAACGAUGCAUAGCCGACCUGAGAGGGUGAUCGGCCACACUGGAACUGAGACACGGUCCAGACUCCUACGGGAGGCAGCAGUAGGGAAUCUUCCGCAAUGGGCGAAAGCCUGACGGAGCAACGCCGCGUGAGUGAUGAAGGUCUUCGGAUCGUAAAACUCUGUUAUUAGGGAAGAACAUAUGUGUAAGUAACUGUGCACAUCUUGACGGUACCUAAUCAGAAAGCCACGGCUAACUACGUGCCAGCAGCCGCGGUAAUACGUAGGUGGCAAGCGUUAUCCGGAAUUAUUGGGCGUAAAGCGCGCGUAGGCGGUUUUUUAAGUCUGAUGUGAAAGCCCACGGCUCAACCGUGGAGGGUCAUUGGAAACUGGAAAACUUGAGUGCAGAAGAGGAAAGUGGAAUUCCAUGUGUAGCGGUGAAAUGCGCAGAGAUAUGGAGGAACACCAGUGGCGAAGGCGACUUUCUGGUCUGUAACUGACGCUGAUGUGCGAAAGCGUGGGGAUCAAACAGGAUUAGAUACCCUGGUAGUCCACGCCGUAAACGAUGAGUGCUAAGUGUUAGGGGGUUUCCGCCCCUUAGUGCUGCAGCUAACGCAUUAAGCACUCCGCCUGGGGAGUACGAC
rnacentral:rRNA from 8 species